rnacentral:rRNA from 1 species
CAGCAGCCGCGGUAAUACGUAGGUGGCAAGCGUUGUCCGGAAUUACUGGGUGUAAAGGGUGCGCAGGCGGGGAUGCAAGUUGGAUGUGAAACCUAUGGGCUUAACCCAUAGCCUGCAUCCAAAACUGUAUUUCUUGAGUGGAGUAGAGGCAGGCGGAAUUCCGAGUGUAGCGGUGAAAUGCGUAGAUAUUCGGAGGAACACCAGUGGCGAAGGCGGCCUGCUGGGCUCUAACUGACGCUGAGGCACGAAAGCAUGGGGAGCAAACAGGAUUAGAUACCCUGGUAGUCCAUGCCGUAAACGAUGAUUGCUAGGUGUGGGAGGUCUGACCCCUUCCGUGCCGGAGUUAACACAAUAAGCAAUCCACCUGGGGAGUACGGUCGCAAGACUGAAACUCAAAGGAAUUGACGGGGGCCCGCACAAGCAGUGGAGUAUGUGGUUUAAUUCGAAGCAACGCGAAGAACCUUACCAGGUCUUGACAUCCGACUAACGAAGCAGAGAUGCAUCAGGUGCCCUUCGGGGAAAGUCGAGACAGGUGGUGCAUGGCC